ensembl:misc_RNA Metazoa_SRP Metazoan signal recognition particle RNA
GCUGGGCAUGGUGGUACAUGCCUGUAGUCCCAGCUACUUGGGAGGCUGAGGCAAGAGGAUCACUUGAGCCCAGGAGUUCAAGGCUGUAGUGAGCUAUGAUGGCACCACUGCACUCCAGCCUGGGUGACAAAGUGAGACCCUCUCUCUG